rnacentral:tRNA from 1 species
GGAAGGAUGGUCAAAUGGUUAGGACUUGGGAGACCUGGGUUCAAUUCCCUGCUCUGCCA